CGGCAGAAGAAAAGCCAUUUUUUAUCGCUGUAUACUCGUAUAGGCUUAUUUGAGACACGAUAAAUACAUUUGUGUUUUUUUUUUUUUACCACUCGAAAGAAUAUCGGACGUAUGCAAUUACAGAAAACGAUUAUAUGAACUUUAUAAUUAUAAACGAGCAGGCGUUGUGAGCUGUUAUAUUAUGACGAUAUGAUGAGUAUGGUUCGGAUUUAAGUGCUUUGAAAUUUGUAUCGAAAAAUGAUUAGUUCACGAACCAAGAUUCGAUGAGAAUUUAAUAAAUAAACGCUAUUAUGACAUGUAAAACUCUGUACAAAACGGAAGAAAUUUAAUAUCUUGAAACCGAAAUCCCGACGGGUUCUGUACCUCGACAGAUAAUAGCACCGACAUUAUUCCGCACCAUACGUUCACAUCACGAGUAUUGGGGCUGACAGUCUAUG